UGGGGAAUAUUGGACAAUGGGGGCAACCCUGAUCCAGCCAUGCCGCGUGUGUGAAGAAGGCCUUCGGGUUGUAAAGCACUUUUGUUGGGGAAGAAAAGCACUGGGCUAAUACCUUGGUGUCAUGACGGUACCCAAAGAAUAAGCACCGGCUAACUUCGUGCCAGCAGCCGCGGUAAUACGAAGGGUGCAAGCGUUACUCGGAAUUACUGGGCGUAAAGCGUGCGUAGGCGGUUUGUUAAGUCUGUCGUGAAAGCCCCGGGCUCAACCUGGGAAUGGCGAUGGAAACUGGCGAGCUAGAGUACGGUAGAGGAGAGUGGAAUUCCCGGUGUAGCAGUGAAAUGCGUAGAGAUCGGGAGGAACAUCAGUUGCGAAGGCGGCUCUCUGGACCAGUACUGACGCUGAGGCACGAAAGCGUGGGGAGCAAACA
rnacentral:rRNA from 1 species